AAUGAACGCUAGCGGCAGGCCUAACACAUGCAAGUCGAGGGGUAACUAGAGUGAUAGCAAUAUUACUUUGGCUAGACCGGCGCACGGGUGCGUAACACGUAUGCAACCUACCUUAUACUGGGGAAUAACUUCGAGAAAUCGGCGCUAAUACCCCAUAACAUUGCGAAGAGGCAUCUCUUUGCAAUUAAAGCUCCGGCGGUAUAAGAUGGGCAUGCGUCCAAUUAGCUAGUUGGUGAGGUAACGGCUCACCAAGGCUACGAUUGGUAGGGGUUCUGAGAGGAUGAUCCCCCACACUGGUACUGAGACACGGACCAGACUCCUACGGGAGGCAGCAGCGAGGAAUAUUGCGCAAUGGACGAAAGUCUGACGCAGCCAUGCCGCGUGCAGGAUGACGGCCUUAUGGGUUGUAAACUGCUUUUGUACGGGAAUAAACCCUUCUACGUGUAGGAGGCUGAAGGUACCGUAAGAAUAAGCACCGGCUAACUCCGUGCCAGCCGCCGCGGUAAUAC
rnacentral:rRNA from 1 species